UCGCAAGAGAACCGGAACACAGGUGCUGCAUGGCUGUCGUCAGCUCGUGUCGUGAGAUGUUGGGUUAAGUCCCGCAACGAGCGCAACCCUUGUCAUUAGUUGCCAUCAUUUGGUUGGGCACUCUAAUGAGACUGCCGGUGACAAACCGGAGGAAGGUGGGGAUGACGUCAAGUCCUCAUGGCCCUUAUGGUAGGGCUUCACACGUCAUACAAUGGUCGGUACAGAGGGUUGCCAACCCGCGAGGGGGGAGGCUAAUCCCACAAAGCCGAUCGUAGUCCGGAUCGCAGUCUGCAACUCGACUGCGUGAAGUCGGAAUCGCUAGUAAUCGUGGAUCAGCAUGUCACGGUGAAUACGUUCCCGGGUCUU
rnacentral:rRNA from 1 species